rnacentral:rRNA from 1 species
AGUGAACGCUGGCGGUAGGCCUAACACAUGCAAGUCGAACGGCAGCACAGAGGAGCUUGCUCCUUGGGUGGCGAGUGGCGGACGGGUGAGGAAUACAUCGGAAUCUACUCUGUCGUGGGGGAUAACGUAGGGAAACUUACGCUAAUACCGCAUACGACCUACGGGUGAAAGCAGGGGACCUUCGGGCCUUGCGCGAUUGAAUGAGCCGAUGUCGGUUUAGCUAGUUGGCGGGGUAAAGGCCCACCAAGGCGACGAUCCGUAGCUGGUCUGAGGGGAUGAUCAGCCACAAUGGAACUGAGGCACGGUCCAGACGCCUACGGGAGGCAGCAGUGGGGAAUAUUGGACAAUGGGCGCAAGCCUGAUCCAGCCAUACCGCGUGGGUGAAGAAGGCCUUCGGGUUGUAAAGCCCUUUUGUUGGGAAAGAAAUCCAGCUGGCUAAUACCCGGUUGGGAUGACGGUACCCAAAGAAUAAGCACCGGCUAACUUCGUGCCAGCAGCCGCAGUAA